UGUUCUGUUCACUCUCGGAUACUGUGCACCACGUGAUUGUGUUGUUAAGGCGUUGGCCUGUCGAUAAUUAAUCAAUUAAUACAGCAGGUAACAACAUGGCACAGCACUUUGUAUUCCAACGGAUAACUACUUGUAAUUAGACGUGCAUCGCGAGGUAUGACUACGUUUUCCACGUUAAUUUCGCUUCGUGACGUUAGUCGCGAAAGAAAAAUGCAUUACCGUAAAUUUGAUGUAACGCUAAACAGCAUAGGGAUAAUAAUAACGUAUAAAGCCACAUCUUUUCUCUGUAUUUCUUUCGAGUUAAUUGCGCACGGACAACACCCUUGACAUGACUACUCCGAAUUGUAACGAACUACACCCAACUCUACAACACGCGUCACGCAGGCCAUUCAUUAAACGAGGACGGAAUGAACGAUUCGACGCUAUGAGUCUGUUCGUCGCGCAGACUUUUGCAUGUGUAGAUAUAUUAAAAGAAAAAAACGACAAUAAAAAUGAAAAAGAAGAUAUAUACUUGAAAUAUAGAAGAAGAAAGGAAAAGAAGAAAAAUAAUGUAAAAGAAUAAUAAAAACUACAAGCGAGGAAAACAGAUAUUUACUUCUUUGCGGGUAUGUCACGUUGCACUUUCUGUACUUAAAGUGAAA